GACGAACGCUGGCGGCGUGCCUAAUACAUGCAAGUCGAGCGAACAUUUGAGAGCUUGCUCUCAAAUGUUAGCGGCGGACGGGUGAGUAACACGUGGGCAACCUGCCUAUAAGACUGGGAUAACUUCGGGAAACCGGAGCUAAUACCGGAUAAUUCACAUCUACUCAUGUAGAUGUGCUGAAAGACGGUUUACGCUGUCACUUAUAGAUGGGCCCGCGGCGCAUUAGCUAGUUGGUGAGGUAACGGCUCACCAAGGCCACGAUGCGUAGCCGACCUGAGAGGGUGAUCGGCCACACUGGGACUGAGACACGGCCCAGACUCCUACGGGAGGCAGCAGUAGGGAAUCUUCCGCAAUGG
rnacentral:rRNA from 1 species